rnacentral:rRNA from 1 species
AGAGUUUGAUCCUGGCUCAGGAUGAACGCUGGCGGCGUGCUUAACACAUGCAAGUCGAACGAACCUUCGGGUUAGUGGCGGACGGGUGAGUAACGCGUGGGAAUCUGCCCUCAGGAGGGGGAUAACGGCUGGAAACGGCCGCUAAUACCCCAUAUGCCGAGAGGUGAAAUGAAUUUCGCCUGAGGAUGAGCCCGCGUCUGAUUAGCUUGUUGGUGAGGUAAUGGCUCACCAAGGCUUCGAUCAGUAGCUGGUCUGAGAGGAUGAUCAGCCACACUGGGACUGAGACACGGCCCAGACUCCUACGGGAGGCAGCAGUGGGGAAUUUUCCGCAAUGGGCGAAAGCCUGACGGAGCAACGCCGCGUGAGGGAUGAAGGCCUCUGGGCUGUAAACCUCUUUUCUCAAGGAAGAAGAUCUGACGGUACUUGAGGAAUAAGCCACGGCUAAUUCCGUGCCAGCAGCCGCGGUAAUACGGGAGUGGCAAGCGUUAUCCGGAAUUAUUGGGCGUAAAGCGUCCGCAGGCGGCCUUUCAAGUCUGCUGUUAAAACGUGGAGCUUAACUCCAUCAAGGCAGUGGAAACUGUUGGGCUUGAGUGUGGUAGGGGCAGAGGGAAUUCCCGGUGUAGCGGUGAAAUGCGUAGAUAUCGGGAAGAACACCAGUGGCGAAGGCGCUCUGCUGGGCCAUAACUGACGCUCAUGGACGAAAGCCAGGGGAGCGAAAGGGAUUAGAUACCCCUGUAGUCCUGGCCGUAAACGAUGAACACUAGGUGUCGGGGGAAUCGACCCCCUCGGUGUCGUAGCCAACGCGUUAAGUGUUCCGCCUGGGGAGUACGCACGCAAGUGUGAAACUCAAAGGAAUUGACGGGGGCCCGCACAAGCGGUGGAGUAUGUGGUUUAAUUCGAUGCAACGCGAAGAACCUUACCAGGGUUUGACAUCCUGCGAACCUCUAAGAAAUUGGAGGGUGCCUUCGGGAACGCAGUGACAGGUGGUGCAUGGCUGUCGUCAGCUCGUGUCGUGAGAUGUUGGGUUAAGUCCCGCAACGAGCGCAACCCACGUUUUUAGUUGCCAGCAUUUAGUUGGGCACUCUAGAGAGACCGCCGGUGAUAAACCGGAGGAAGGUGUGGACGACGUCAAGUCAUCAUGCCCCUUACAUCCUGGGCUACACACGUACUACAAUGCUACGGACAAAGGGCAGCGAACUCGCGAGGGCAAGCAAAUCCCAUAAACCGUGGCUCAGUUCAGAUCGUAGGCUGCAACUCGCCUACGUGAAGCAGGAAUCGCUAGUAAUCGCAGGUCAGCAUACUGCGGUGAAUACGUUCCCGGGCCUUGUACACACCGCCCGUCACACCAUGGAAGUUGGCCACGCCCGAAGUCGUUACUCCAACCCUUGUGGAGGAGGACGCCGAAGGUGGGGCUAAUGACUGGGGUGAAGUCGUAACAAGGUAGCCGUACCGGAAGGUGCGGCUG